rnacentral:rRNA from 1 species
CCCUUAGAUGUUCGGGGCCGCACGCGCGCUACACUGAAGGACUCAGCGUGUCUCUCCCCCUAUCCCGAAAGGGAUGGGCAACCCGUUGAACCUCCUUCAUGCUAGGGAUUGGGGUUUGCAAUUAUCCCCCAUGAACGAGGAAUUCCCAGUAAGCGCGAGUCAUCAGCUCGCGUUGAUUACGUCCCUGCCCUUUGUACACACCGCCCGUCGCUACUACCGAUUGGAUGGUUUAGUGAGACCCUCGGAUCGGUCCCGACUCGGGGUGGGCUUCUGCCCCGGUCGUGGUUUCGCCGAGAAGACGGUCAAACUUGACUAUCUAGAGGAAGUAAAAGUCGUAACA